AACGCGAAGAACCUUACCUGGCCUUGACAUGCACUGGACAUGCGCUGAAAGGCGUCCUUCCCGCAAGGGACCGGUGCACAGGUGCUGCAUGGCUGUCGUCAGCUCGUGUCGUGAGAUGUUGCGUUAAGUCGCGCAACGAGCGCAACCCCUGUCCUUAGUUGCCACCAUUCAGUUGGGCACUCUAGGGAGACAAACCCUCUUUGAGGGUGGGAAGGUGGGGAUGACGUCAAGUCAGGAUGGCCCUUACGGCCAGGGCUGCACACGUGCUACAAUGCCCAGCACAGAGGGACGCAAUACCGCAAGGUGGAGCAAAUCCUCAAAACUGGGCCCAGUUCAGAUUGUAGUCUGCAACUCGACUACAUGAAGUUGGAAUCGCUAGUAAUGGCGUAUCAGCUACGACGCCGUGAAUACGUUCCCGGGCCUUGUA
rnacentral:rRNA from 1 species